rnacentral:lncRNA from 1 species
AUAAAGUUGCACUACAAUUAGCUCAGAUUUUGCACAUGUCCCUAAACCAAAGUAAAUUCCUUUGAAUGUAACCUGCCCUCUCAUGUGGGCUGGCAGAUUAUCCGCAGCUGACAAUGAAUAGUUACAAGAAUGAGAACUGACGAUUAUUAAGUAACUACAGCAAAAAUUGAAUGAUGAUAAUCAACAAUAUAAAGUCAUAAUGUUAUGCAUAAGACUAAUAAAAGUCUCCUUCAUUUCUGCAGAAGCUACAUCAUAUUGAGCAUUAAAUCAUUUUUUUUUCUCCUCCCCCACCCCCUUUUUUAGAUGUUAUAAAAGAGAUAUUUUGGAAGACAGUUCACCAAGAUUUAUAGCAGAGUGUUCACUAUUCAUCCGUAAUACAUGAAACUGGGCCAGGUUGUUAUGUCCUGGGGAAAUUAAAAAAAGAAUCUUGUGACUCGUGAUAGACAUUUUGGUGGUGUUUGUGAAACAAUUUGGCAUCUCAGUCCGGUUCGUAACUAGCUCUAACUGGACAAGGCCCACACUCAAAACCAGUCAGGAUUUUUUGACAGCCAUGUCUUACUGACAGAAAAUCACAUUUUUAGGGAAAUGGCUUUCUGUUUCUGGGUAAUUUCAAGAAAUUGCUCCACUCCUUUUCUGUGUCCCCCUUUUUCCUAAUAUUAGCAGAACAAUGGUUUAGAGGUCACAGCAGGAAGUCAUGACCGAGGGCAGGUUCUGAAUAUUUGAACCCAAACACUCUGUCCUAAGAAGCUUCACUAUGCUGCAUUGGCAGGACAACAUGGGUUCUGGGAACAAAAAAGAGGUCUUAAAGAUUGUUAAAUUGUCAGCCUUCAUGGAGCGGGAUGCAGUGCGGGGGGGGGGGGGGGGAUGCAUAGUAUUUAAUAGGUAUUUACAGGCAAUGAAUAUCAAUUACAAAUUACCUUCCAGGUCAGUCUUCUGUAACAGGAGAAUCUCAGUGUUGUUUAGCUUUGAGAGGAGAUUUUGGCUCCAGCUAGCACUGCAGCAGAUAAAUCAGGUAAGUCAGAUUGCUAUUCUUAUUGACACAAAAUAGAGCAGUAACGAAGGACAUAGUAGGGGGGUUUUAUUAUUAUACAAAUAAAAACUAUGAAAACAGGAAAAUCCA